rnacentral:rRNA from 1 species
AGAAUGAACGCUGGCGGCAUGCCUAACACAUGCAAGUCGAACGAGACCUUCGGGUCUAGUGGCGCACGGGUGCGUAACGCGUGGGAAUCUGCCCUUGGGUUCGGAAUAACAGUGGGAAACUACUGCUAAUACCGGAUAAUGACGUAAGUCCAAAGAUUUAUCGCCCAGGGAUGAGCCCGCGUAAGAUUAGCUAGUUGGUGGGGUAAAGGCCUACCAAGGCGACGAUCUUUAGCUGGUCUGAGAGGAUGAUCAGCCACACUGGGACUGAGACACGGCCCAGACUCCUACGGGAGGCAGCAGUGGGGAAUAUUGGACAAUGGGCGAAAGCCUGAUCCAGCAAUGCCGCGUGAGUGAUGAAGGCCUUAGGGUUGUAAAGCUCUUUUACCCGGGAAGAUAAUGACUGUACCGGAGAAUAGCCCCGGCUAACUCCGUGCCAGCAGCCGC